rnacentral:rRNA from 1 species
GACGAACGCUGGCGGCGUGCCUAAUACAUGCAAGUUGAGCGAUGAAGAUUGGUGCUUGCACCAAUUUGAAGAGCAGCGAACGGGUGAGUAACGCGUGGGGAAUCUGCCUUUGAGCGGGGGACAACAUUUGGAAACGAAUGCUAAUACCUCAUAACAACUUUAAACAUAAGUUAUAAGUUUGAAAGAUGCAAUUGCAUCACUCAAAGAUGAUCCCGCGUUGUAUGAGCUAGUUGGUGGGGUAACGGCUCACCAAGGCGAUGAUACAUAGCCGAGCUGAGAGGAGGGGCGGCGACACUGGACCGGAGACAAGGUACAGACGCCUACGGGAGGAAGCAGUGGGGAAGGUGCCGCAAGGGGCGAGAGCCUGACGGAGCAAGGCCGGGUGAGUGAUGACGGCCGUGGGGUGGUAAAAAUCUGUGAUCCGGGACGAAAAGGCAGAGUGCGAAGAACAAACUGCAUUGACGGUAACGGAAAAGCAAGCCACGGCUAACUACGUG